GAUGAACGCUGGCGGCGUGCCUAAUACAUGCAAGUCGAGCGAAUGGAUUAAGAGCUUGCUCUUAUGAAGUUAGCGGCGGACGGGUGAGUAACACGUGGGUAACCUGCCCAUAAGACUGGGAUAACUCCGGGAAACCGGGGCUAAUACCGGAUAAUAUUUUGAACUGCAUGGUUCAAAAGUGAAAGGCGGCUUCGGCUGUCACUUAUGGAUGGACCCGCGUCGCAUUAGCUGGUUGGUGAGGUAACGGCUCACCAAGGCAACGAUGCGCAGCCGACCUGAGAGGGUGAUCGGCCACACGGGGACUGGGACACGGCCCAAGCUCCUACGGGAGGCAGCAGUAGGGAAUCUUCCGCAAUGGACGAAAGUCUGACGGAACAACGCCGCGUGAGUGGUGAAGGCUUUCGGGUCGUAAAACUCUGUUGUUAGGGAAGAACAAGUGCUAGUUGAAUAAGCUGGCACCUUGACGGUACCUACCCAGAAAGCCACGGCUAACUACGUGCCAGCAGCCGCCGUAA
rnacentral:rRNA from 1 species